AUGGUGCGGCACGGCGUGGCGCGGCACAGCGGCCCCGCUCCGGCUCCGCUCCGGCUCUGCAGCCACCUGCGCACAGAUCUUGGCGUCAGUGCAGGCUCUGCUCAACCCCGUGCGGCAGCCCCCGGCAGCUGCCGCAGGGUGCAGAGCCCGUCACCCUUCUGUGGCCCAGAAGCGCGGCCCGCUCCUCCCGGCCGGACGCCCCACCUGCAUUUCCCGCGCUCUCUUCACCACACACGCGGCGCCCCAGCCGACGACAGCCACGGAGCGGUCAAGGGCGCGGGAGGCCCCUUGGGACCUGUGGAGUCCUCUGAAGAGCAACAGUCAGGGUGUGAAUGUUCAAAUUCAGCUGUUAGCAGGGAACUUUUAGAACCUGUUGUAGAAAAUGGGGAGACUGAAAUGUCCCCAGAAGAAUCGUGGGAGCACAAAGAAGAAAUAAGUGAAGCAGAGCUGGGGAGUGGUUCCUUGGGAGAUGGAAGGCCACCUGAGGAAAGUGCCCAAGAAAUGAUAAAGGAGGAAGAGGAAAUACCAAAGCCUAAAUCCGGGGCUGCCCCACCAGGUGCCCCGAAAAAAGAACAUGUAAAUGUAGUAUUCAUUGGGCAUGUAGAUGCAGGCACGUCAACCAUUGGAGGACAAAUAAUGUAUCUGACUGGAAUGGUUGACAAAAGGACACUUGAAAAAUAUGAAAGAGAAGCUAAGGAAAAAAACAGAGAAACUUGGUACUUGUCUUGGGCCUUAGACACAAAUCAGGAAGAACGAGACAAGGGUAAAACAGUAGAAGUGGGUCGUGCUUACUUUGAAACAGAAAAGAAACAUUUCACAAUUCUGGAUGCCCCUGGCCAUAAGAGUUUCGUUCCAAAUAUGAUUGGCGGUGCCUCUCAAGCUGAUUUGGCUGUAUUGGUCUCAGCCAGGAAAGGAGCGUUUGAAACUGGAUUUGAAAAAGGACAAACCAGAGAACAUGCAAUGUUGGCAAAGACAGCAGGUGUAAAACACUUAAUUGUUCUUAUUAAUAAGAUGAAUGAUCCAACAGUAAACUGGAGCAAUGAGAGGUAUGAAGAACCUAAAGAGAAGCUAGUGCCAUUUUUGAAAAAGGUUGGCUUCAAUCCCAAAAAGGACAUUCAUUUUAUGCCCUGCUCAGGAUUGACUGGAGCAAAUCUCAAAGAGCAAUCUGAUUUCUGCCCUUGGUACAUUGGAUUACCAUUUAUUCCAUAUCUGGAUAACUUGCCAAACUUCAGUAGAUCAGUUGAUGGACAGUCAGGCUGCCAGUUGUGAUAAGUACAAGGAUAUGAGCGCUGUGGUCCUGGGAAAGCUGGAAUCAGGAUCUAUUUGUAAAGGCCAGCAGCCUGUGAUAAUGCCAAACAAGCACAAAGUGGAAGUCCUUGGAAUGCUUUCUGAUGAUGUAGAAACAGAUUCUGUAGCCCCAGGUGAAAACCUCAAAAUCAGGCUGAAAGGAAUAGAAGAGGAAGAGAUUCUUCCAGGAUUUAUAGUCUGUGAUCCUAAUAACCUCUGUCAUUUGGGAUGCAUGUUCAAUCCCCAGGUAAAACCAUUGCAAUUGGAAAAGUUCUGA